GAUGAACGCUGGCGGCGUGCCUAAUACAUGCAAGUCGAGCGAACAGACGAUGAGCUUGCUCCGCUGACGUUAGCGGCGGACGGGUGAGUAACACGUGGAUAACCUACCUAUAAGACUGGGAUAACUUCGGGAAACCGGAGCUAAUACCGGAUAAUAUAUUGAACCGCAUGGUUCAAUAGUGAAUGACGGUUUUGCUGGCACUUAUAGAUGCAUCCGGGCCGCAUUAGCUAGUUGGUACGGUAACGGCCUACCAAGGCAAGGAUGCGUAGCCGACGUGAGAGGGGGAUCGGCCACCCUGGAACUGAGACACGGUCAAGACUCCUACGGGAGGCAGCAGUAGGGAAUCUUACGCAACGGGCGGAAGCCUGACGGAGCAACGCCGCGUGAGUGAUGAAGGUCUUCGGAUCGUAAAACUGUGUUAUUAGGGAAGAACAAAUGUGGAAGUAACUAUGCACGUCUUGACGGUACCUGAUCAGAAAGCAACGGCUAACUACGUG
rnacentral:rRNA from 1 species